UACAGAGGGGGCAAGCGUUAUUCGGAAUUAUUGGGCGUAAAGGGCGCGUAGGCGGCCUGGCAAGUGGAUGGUGAAAUCCCUCGGCUUAACCGAGGAACUGCCAUCCAGACUACUUUGCUUGAGGCCGGGAGAGGUGAGUGGAAUUCCCAGUGUAGCGGUGAAAUGCGUAGAUAUUGGGAGGAACACCAGUGGCGAAGGCGGCUCACUGGACCGGUUCUGACGCUGAUGCGCGAAAGCGUGGGGAGCAAACGGG
rnacentral:rRNA from 1 species